GACAGAGGUGCCGAGCGUUAGGCGGAAUCACUGGGCUUAAAGCGUGUGUAGGCGGGUGCCUAAGUACCUUGUGAAAUCCCACGGCUCAACCGUGGAACUGCUGGGCAUACUGGGAGUCUUGGGCCAUUCAGGGGGCAACUGGAACAAGCGGUGGAGCGGUGAAAUGCGUAGAUAUCGCUUGGAACGCCGAAGGUGAAAAACAGGUUGCUGGGGGAUGUGCCGACGCUGAGACACGAAAGCCAGGGGAGCAAACGGG
rnacentral:rRNA from 1 species